AACAUCCGGAAACGGGUGCUAAUACCGCAUAGGAAGUUUGUUCGCAUGAACAAACUUAGAAAGAUGGCUCUGCUAUCGCUUAUCGAUGGCCUUGCGGUGCAUUAACUAGUUGGCGAGGGUAACGGGCUCACCAAGGUGAUGAUGCAUAGCCGACCUGAGAGGGUAAUCGGCCACAUUGGGACUGAGACACGGCCCAAACUCCUACGGGAGGCAGCAGUAGGGAAUCUUCCGCAAUGGACGCAAGUCUGACGGAGCAACGCCGCGUGAGUGAAGAAGGUUUUCGGAUCGUAAAACUCUGUUGUAAGAGAAGAACAAAUUGUAGAGUAACUGCUACAGUCUUGACGGUAUCUUACCAGAAAAGCCACGGGCUAACUACGUGCCCAGCAGCCGCGGGUAAAUA
rnacentral:rRNA from 1 species